rfam:Oryza punctata chromosome 3, whole genome shotgun sequence.
UUUAAAUACAACUAUAAAUUUCUGUGUUCAACUUUAAUCGUCCGUCUUAUUUAAAUUUUUUUAUGAUUAAUUUUUUAUUGUUAUUAGAUGAUAAAACAUGAAUAGUUUUAUUUUUUUUUAAUUUUUUUAAAUAAAAUGAUGAUUAAAGUUGGAUACGAAAACUCGUGACUGCGCUUGAA